GGAGCCUGGGUCGCACGGAAUGGGAGGGGCCAGAUGCUCCAGAAAAGAAGUUGGUGACGCCUGUAUGACUGGGACAUUGCCCUCCUCUUGGUCAGGGGCCGACUGAUGCCCUGGGGUCCUUGUCCACCCACUCCCCAAUUUCCUCUCAAGACCGUUUCCUCCUCUCUCUCUUAGCCAGAACCCGGCACAGGGCACCUGCAUUCCUACUUGUGCAUCACCCAUGUGAAUCACUAUACACAAGUGAGCCACACUUGGCUAUAAUUCACACGUGACACAGCCACACGCCGCCCUCCGCCGUCGAGGCUGUGGACCGGAGCGGGGAUUCCGGGGUGCCUAGAAUCCGGGUCCUCAAGACAAGACUCUCUCCUCGAGGGAAGCCUCCAGCCGGCAGCGGUCCCGCGCGGCCAGUCCUGGUACUGCAUCGUCCCCGCUUUCGCGGCGUUCCAUCCACAAUGGCCCAAACUGGGCUGGGGAUGUCCCCGGACGAGACCGAGAAAGCGCAAUCUGGAGCAGCGAGGCUCCAGCUGCUUCCUCCUGAUUUGUGCUGCUGUCUUCUGAACAACCAUGUGCAAUUUACACUUGAUUCGGUCAGGCAAAACCUUCGUAAGUGAAAGCUUCUUAUAUC